GAUAAGUUGGGUAGUCAAAAGGGAAAGAGCCCAGACCUACAGCUAAGGUCCCAAAGUAUGUGUUCAGUGGAAAAGGAUGUGAGAUUUCAGAGACAACUAGGAUGUUGGCUUAGAAGCAGCCACACAUUCAAAGAGUGCGUAAUAGCUCACUAGUCGAGAGGUCUUGCGCCGAAAAUGUCCGGGGCUAAAACACAACACCGAAGCUUAGGAAUGUAGAAAUACAUUGGUAGAGGAGCAUUUUUAUAGGCGUAGAAGCUGUACCGAUAAGGAGCAGUGGAGUAAUAAAAAGAGAGAAUGCCGGAAUGAGUAGCGAGAUGAAGGUGAGAAUCCUUCAGGCCGAAUAUCUAAGGUUUCCAGAGUAAAGCUGAUCUGCUCUGGGUAAGUCGGGACCUAAGGCAAGGUCGAAAGACGUAGUCGAUGGACAACAGGUUUAGAUUCCUGUACCGCUUAUUAUCAGAAAUGUGGGGACACAGAGACGUAUCCAAACCCAGGAAUGCAAAGACUGGGGCAAGCCAAGUACUGGUAUGGCAGGAAAAUCCGCCAUGCAACAGGAAUAGGUGAUGCGGACCGAAAUCAAGUAGGGAAGUUGGAGAAGGAGCUGUCAAGAAAAGCCGCUAUUGUGUAAUAAGUGCCCGUACCGUAAACCGACACAGGUGGAUGAGGAGAGAAUCCUAAGGCCGGCGGGAGAAGCAUUGUUAAGGAACUCGGCAAAAUGACCCCGUAACUUCGGGAGAAGGGGUGCCAUCCUCCGGGAUGGCCACAGAAAAUAGGCUCAAGCAACUGUUUAGCAAAAACACAGGUCUAUGCGAAACCGAAAGGUGAGGUAUAUGGGCUGACGCCUGCCCGGUGCUGGAAGGUUAAGAGGAGAAGUCAGGCAACGAAGCUUUGAAUUGAAGCCCCAGUAAACGGCGGCCGUAACUAUAACGGUCCUAAGGUAGCGAAAUUCCUUGUCGGGUAAGUUCCGACCCGCACGAAAGGCGUAAUGAUUUGAGCGCUGUCUCAACAAUGCACCCGGUGAAAUUGAAGUACCAGUGAAGAUGCUGGUUACCUGCGCCAGGACGGAAAGACCCCAUGGAGCUUUACUCUAGUUUGAUACUGGGAUUCGAUUAUACCUGUACAGGAUAGGUGGGAGGCGAAGAAGCAAGGACGCCAGUCUUUGCAGAGCCGCUGUUGGGAUACCACCCUUGUAUGAUUGGAUUUCUAACCUGCGCCCGUGAUCCGGGUGGGGGACACUGUCAGAUGGGGAGUUUGACUGGGGCGGUCGCCUCCGAAAGGGUAUCGGAGGCGCUCAAAGGUUCCCUCAGAAUGGUCGGAAACCAUUCAAAGAGUGCAAAGGCAGAAGGGAGCUUGACUGCGACACCGACGGGUGGAGCAGGUACGAAAGUAGGACUUAGUGAUCCGGUGGUAUAAAGUGGGAUUGCCAUCGCUCAACGGAUAAAAGCUACCCUGGGGAUAACAGGCUUAUCACUCCCAAGAGUUCACAUCGACGGAGUGGUUUGGCACCUCGAUGUCGGCUCAUCGCAUCCUGGGGCUGAAGUCGGUCCCAAGGGUUGGGCUGUUCGCCCAUUAAAGCGGUACGCGAGCUGGGUUCAGAACGUCGUGAGACAGUUCGGUCCCUAUCCGGCGUGGGCGCAAGAGAUUUGAAGGGAGCUAUCCUUAGUACGAGAGGACCGGGAUGGACCGACCGCUGGUAUGCCUGUUGGAGAGCAGCUCCAUGGCAGGAGAGCCAAGUCGGGCCGGGAUAAACGCUGAAAGCAUCUAAGCGUGAAGCCCCCCCUAAGAUGAGAUUUCU
rnacentral:rRNA from 1 species